GUUCCGGUCACGGAACUCGGAAAAUAACUCGGAGCUCUGACUUCAAAGACAAAUGGAAUGCACGAUUACAUCUACUUUUGUGUUCUAUGGGGAAAGAAUGUCAUAUGGAUUUUGGUACAACAUGAUGUGCAUCACCGGAGUUGAAGAAAUGAAGUGAUGGUCUGAGGGCCGUGUCAGCGGUUCGAGGAAAUCUGGGCCACACGAGGUCAGAUGGACUGUGCUGAAGAUUACAUUUGUGCCACGCAUACUGUCCGCGAAGAGAUCAGCAACGUGGACAACCGGAGUAAAUUAGUUUGUACACCACUAAACUGGCAUCAAAUAAAGGUAUUUGUGCAGAAUCCAUAUGGGAAAUUAAGUCUUCCUUCCUAAAUGUGAAACAUUGAUGUGUCAAACAAGAACACUAAAAUGGACUGGAAUGGAAAAUGAGUGGCUGGUGAUUUCAUUGCUCAGAUAGGUCUGUCUGAUGCUUUUACCACUACAUCAAAUGACACUUGACUCCACAACCCAAUGACAGAAAAAUCUAAAUAAAUCAUAGAGGGAAAGAGCAAGAAGCUAACACAUUUAUUGAAUUGCAUUUUAAAUGCCAAAAUGAAUCUUCAAGAAAAAAAAGAAAUAAAAAACAGCCUAAAAGCAAAGACCGACUGACAGAACAUUGUUUUGCUCACUAAGUCAUUGCU